UACAGAGGUCCCAAGCGUUGUUCGGAUUCAUUGGGCGUAAAGGGUGCGUAGGCGGCGCGGUAAGUCGGGUGUGAAAUCUCGGAGCUUAACUCUGGAACUGCCUUUGAUACUGGGUGUCUUGAGUAUGGAAGAGGUGAGUGGAAUUCCGAGUGUAGAGGUGAAAUUCGUAGAUAUUCGGAGGAACACCAGUGGCGAAGGCGGCUCACUGGUCCAUUACUGACGCUGAGGUGCGAAAGCGUGGGGAGCAAACAGG
rnacentral:rRNA from 1 species